rnacentral:tRNA from 1 species
GCUCGUGGCGUAGUGGUCACACGUUCACUUUAUAAGUGGAUGGUCGUGGGUUCGAUCCCCCUCCCAAGAGCA